ACUCUCCCAAGCCCUGCAUACAGUGCUCUGCAUACAGUAAGUGCUCAGUAAAUAUGAUUGAUUGAUUGAUUCAGGGACAGCAAUCUCCAAGGAGCCAUGAUCCCUCCAGCAGAUAUCAGAUCUUGGAAAUGGAAUAUUUUGAUGGAAAGAGGAAGUCUUUGCCUUUGACCUGGUGGAAAAUUGAGUUUGAAGAGAGACUCCAAAGAGAAGAGCUGAUUUAAGGGAUUGAAGAGGAGGCUGGCACCUGGAAGGACUGAGUCAACUUUUCAGGCCAGGACCUGGCCACUGUGAAUGAAUCUCUGCAGGCCUGGAAGAGGAGGAGAUCUGCUUUUUAGAGGACAUAUGAUCCAAGAAGGGGAAGACAACCAUUGUCAUCCUUAGGGGUGGCCAAUCUCAGAUACCCCCAACCCUCUUGCAUACAGUGGGAGGAAAGGACUUGUAGGAAAAGCUCCAACGUGAUGGACAUUGCUACUGCUGCUGCUUCAGCCAGUCUGAGCCCUUCCACUUCCAGAAGUCCCUAGACUGUGAGCUCAAUGUGGAUAGGGAAUG